ACGGCCAUAGCAUUUUGAAACACCAGUUCCAAUAGGAUCACCAAAGUUAAGCAACGUCAGCCGGGUCAGUACCUAGAUAUGUGACCGCUUGGGAAUACCAGGUGCUGUAAG